GGGCCAAAGGGUCGCUGGGAAAACUAAGCCUUACUGUCCAUCUUGCCUUCAGGAUAAUGUGAAAUAUGGCCUAAUUUUUGAAGUUUUUUUCUUAGAAAUUUUACUGAAUCCAAAAUAAAACAAGAAGAUCAUGGUGGAUAUAGCUUCCAAAUUUAUUCUGCAAUAAAACAGGUUUGAAUCUAGAUAUACAAGCAAAUAGCAAAUAAUAUACAUUCUUUUUUGCAGAGUCCAGAAUUCUCUUUUCUCAACACUAGAUGGCAGUAGAGUUAAAGAAAAAAAUCCCAGCAGUUCUUUGUACAGGGAUUUGGUGAUUUUUCCCAUAAAGCUGCGAUGAGGAUGAACUCAGAGCAAAAUCUAUAACUCAGGUGGCAGAGAGGAGAAGCAGCUGGACAUCGGAGACUAUGGCUGGACAUUGGAGAGAAGUGGUUUGACUUCAGAGGGACAGCUUGACAGUGAAGAAUUCGGCCAGAGAUAGCUGGACUUCAGGGGAAGAUGAUCUUUCCGCCUCAUCCCCCUUUCAGCUCCCCUUCCUGCUGAGAGACACUUUAAUCGGCAAUAAAAUCCCCCAUGUUUACCAUC
ensembl:lncRNA novel transcript